rnacentral:piRNA from 1 species
UAACUAACGGUGUGAUACUUUGCUGC